ACCUGUGCUCUUCCGAUCUCAUGAGGGAAAAACCUUGAUCGCAAGAUUUCAUCUGCAUCUGAACUCUAGCACCACAGAUCCAAUAACAGGAUGCCCAGAAGCAAUAUGGCAAUGAAAAAUUACAGGUGAUGAGGCAGGAUUAGAAGGAGUAGACAGGCUGCUUGAUGUCUUCGGCAUCUCUAAUCCAAGGAGCCCAUUCUCAGCUAAAAAAUUUGCAGUGGAACUGUGCACAAUCAAUGGCCUGAUCCUCUGCUGGAGGUUUGAAUGGAGUGACGCCUACUCACAUGAGCUGUAAAUCUCUACCCAAGCCGUUUCCUUGUUCAUCCAUCUAUGCCCACUCAUCCCUGCUGCACCAGCUUCUUCAUCCCCCACUGAGCUACCACCUAAUUGCUUCCAUGAGAUGUCAGCUGGAUGAAGCCUGCCCUCUUUAAAUGGCAUUCCCAAUCUCAGCCAACUUUGCGGGUUACACCCCCCUGAACCAAGACUCCCUCUCUUCAUUAUUUCCUUAAUGGUUUCAUUCAUUAAUGAAAUUGCCUAAUUGCACUUAGCCUUAUUCCCUGUCACCACUACGUCAAAAAGGAAAGGAGAGUCAUUAAUCAUGCUCAGUGCUUUUGUCCCUCGCAGAGACAGAAUCUGAUAGAAAGCUAUGAAGAGGUCACAGGCUGCAAAGAAAAAUCACAUAAUAAAGAUAUAUCUGAAGCAUGUUCUUCUCCCACCCCAUAAGCUGAAAUCCAUGUGUUAUGCUAUAAUGCCAGCAGCACUAUAAUUAAAGAGCUUCUGUUUC